ensembl:lncRNA
UGGCACUGGGUUUUAGCUUCCAAAAGGUGCUGUGGGAAUUGAAGCAGCUUUCCAGAGCAAACUACACAAGGACGUGAGCCAGAGAGAUGUUGCAGAAAGAAAACACGCUUCAACAGAAGAGAUUAAGGUGCAAGUCAGAGUGGCAUUGAAGGCUUCAGAAGAGCAACACAUUGCCUGCAUUUAAACAUGAGCCAUAGCCUAAUUUCUAAAGCUGCUCUAUAAACUCCGCUUGAGAGGCAGCACGAGCCAAAGAAGGAAGAAAACACGUCUGGGAAUGGCAGUGAAUGAAGCUAACAGGAACACCUGGCUACUCCAGAACUUCAGCCAACAUGCUGGCACCCCUGCAUGAGACAAAGUAUAAGGGCUGCUCUGAAACUAAUGCCUCCUAUUUUAUUAUGUCAGCCAGUGAAGACAGAGGUCUACAGGAGAGAAUUCAAGAUGCUGCAAGUUCUCAAAGUUCUUCCUCAGCUCACAGAAAUGAAAAAAAGCAGCCGUAGUGAUUUCUUUUGGCAGUAUCUUCUGCCACGAACAGCCAUUUUCAUGCCCUCCAUAAUGAGGAGGAGUUCAGAAAGGCUCUGAAUUGUCUGGGAAACGAAAAAAAAUUCCACAACUGGGAGAAUGAAAUGCAAACUGAAGGCAUUUCAGACACAAUGUGCUUGAUGAGUGGUUGUAUAGAUGGAGAAAGCAUUGUUUCAUCAAGAGUUUUCAACUCAAAUCAUUGCCACCAUAUGAAAAAAUACCUUCCUCUAUAUUUUUUAACCCUUCUUUUACUAGUAGGGAAAAGAAAAAUUUAACAGAUGGGCCAGAUUUUUUUAAUCGAACUGGUCUUUUCCUUACUUUGAGGCAUUCGUUCCCAUUUUACUUCAAUACAUUUGUGUCGAAUACAUUUAUUUAUCCUGGUUUAUACUUCCCAGAAAACAAGUCGGGGUUUCUUCUGUGGUCAGACCAAUGCUAUGAUUCAUGGAAUUGUGAUCGUCAGUCUGCACAGGAAGUGGAGGUCAGCUGGAGAGCAACGCUCAUACAGAACUGAAGCUGAACCUUCCAACCUACCAAAUCCGUGAGGUGCUGGAGCAGAAAGGGAACAUAGGUUAAUUCUGGGCUGACCUAGAACAAAGUACUCCAACUCUGCACAACAUACUAGUCCAAGAUUUCAACCAUCACCAUAAACCAAUCUGAAUUAAUGCUUUCCUUCACUUUCCAGUCCAUCAAAUAGAAUCUAAGGCUUUUGGGCCUCUCUGGACAUUUUUAGGUUCAAAAUAAACUGAGUUCUCCAAUAUACAGAAUCCACUUCUUCAUGGGCUCCACUAAGGGCAGCUCACCUCUCCCUGCUUGGGAGCAGGAUGACAGACUCAGCAUGCAGCUGGGGCUGCUUUCCAGAGCAGCUGAACACAGUGGUGUCCACAAUUCAGGCAAAUAAUGAGCCCUUCUUGGUAUGGAUCCUUCAGGAAAGCAUGCCUCCAAUCCCUACAGAGACAUCACACGAGGAAUUCUAGAAAUAUGGCCUUUAAAAGAAGGAAUAGAUCAAAUUUUAAGCAAUUAUGAAUAAAAGCACAUCCAAGAGGUACAGAAAGCUGUAACUGUAAACCAGUUACAUCAGCAAAGCAGCAUUCCCACUGCUGAGAGAAGGGGAGAUUUCUACUGAGGCUAAAACAAGUUCUUUGAGACAGCAGCUGAGAAAGAGACAGUUCUGCCAGGAGUCACAGUUCUUCCAUCCUCAGCACUGGUGAUGAACCGCUCCAGUAACUGGGUGGCAUGCCCCUAAUUCCUCUGGGAAAAGACUCUGGGAAAGGAUGUACAAUAAUUGUGGAGGGGAAGCAGACCAAAGUACAGAGCACUAAUUAAGUUGACUAUCUCAAUAUGACUACCCAGAAAAAAAAUGGAAUUUCUGUGUCUCAAGUUUCAUAUCAGUUGAAUUUCGAGGAUCAAUAGGAUUGGUCUUAUGGGGAUGUUCCUUCCCUUCAUUUGCUUUAUUUCCAACAUGAAGUAAGCUUAGAAGAUUCCUGCCUGGAACCACAAUAAAAAGUUUAUAAUAUUCAGUGACCUGGUUAGGGAAAUAAAGUAAUUUAUUGCUGGGGUAAUCAAAGAAGCAUGAUAGAAGAUUUCCUUAUCAACCGAGAAACUGAGACAGGUGGAUAAUGAUAUGUCCCAACUGUUGCUACCUACUGCACAUCUUCAAGGUUCUCUCUAGGUAGCAGAUGGCCAGUCAGAAUAUCUAAAUUUCAGUCCUGUGAUAAAUUACCUUUUCAGUAGAGAAAGCAUCUCUGUCUCUCCCCAUGAACAAUAAUAAAGAGUUUAUUUCAUUAUGUAAGAGCAUAAUUAGUGCCAGACAUUUAGUACUAUUAGAAUCAUAGAAUCGCUAAGGUUGGAAAAGACCCACAGGAUCAUCCAGUCCAACCAUCCGCCCUUCAUCAAUGGUUCUCGCUAAACCAUGUCCCUCAACACAACAUCCAAACGCUCUUUAAACACUACCAGGCUCAGUGACUCCACUACCUCUCUGGGCAGCCCAUUCCAGUGCCUGACCACCCUUUCAGAGAAGUAGUAUUUCCUAACGUCCAGCCUGAACCUUCCCUUACACAGCUUGAAGCCAUUCCCUCUCGUUCUAUCACUAGUCACCUGGGAGAAGAGGCUGACCCCCAGCUCACCACAACCUCCCUUCAGGUAGUUAUAGAGAGCAAUAAGGUCUCCCCUGAGCCUCCUCUUCUCUAUACUGAACAACCCCAGCUCCUUCAGCCGCUCUUCAUAAGGCCUAAUUAUUACUACCAUUAUUACUACCAAGUUGUCUUUUCUCUUUGUAGUGUGAGAGUUGUAGAGCAGACUCUUUCCUGAUCUUUUCAAACCAUUUCUGCCUGCAUCCAAACAAAAGGAAACAUGUCAUAGCUAGUUUAUGAUGAGAAACCAGUACUUUGGCUCCAGAUGCACACACAGAGAACAACUGGUUUAAAAUGAAAGACAAGCUAAAUAUCAAUAAACCUCAUAGUCUUCUUCAGAGCAGCCUACUCACAGAAAACAGCUUAUGGGCAAGCACAAUGAAUCACGUUGAUACUGGGAAUACACACGUUCCCUAGAAAGCUUCUGCUAAAAGCUUAUCACAUUGCACCAGAUGGUUGGCUAGCUGACAAAAGAUAGCUCAUCUCAAAAAAAAAAAAACCAAAAAAUCUAUCAAAACACAACAACAACAACAACAUAAAAACCCCAAUCCCUAACAAUAUAUAAUAAGAGGAGUCAAGGAUGUAAUAGCCUUUAGUGAGCCAGUGUGCGCAUCUAAUGCACGAGUCAAGCUUGUUGAAGUACAAAAGCCCUUCAUGUCUGAAAGAAAAAGCACCUACCAGACCAAGUGCUCCUGGGAACAGCCCAAGUUAUGAGUCUAAUGGCCAUACAUACAAGGUCUUACUGCUUGCAUGAUGCUCCCCAGUGAAUACGCUCAGCUAAGAACAAACGGAACUCAGGCCAGGUGGUUUCCUUGCCACCACACACAGUGGUGCUACCUACCUCUGCCUAAGCAGCUACAUGCAAAGAGGAACAGUGUCUAUAAUUGCUAGGAUAGUAGAAAAGUCAGGCAGUGGUUCUUAAGUCUAAAGCAAAAAUAAAAGCCAAAUAGAAGUAUACACCACAAAACUUUGCUCCUCGGUUAUCCCUUCCUCCUAAGCAGAAGUCCUAUCCUGAAAAAUACUGUGAAAGAAAACUGCUGAAAUAUUUCUACUGUUGAAGUUUUCUCUGCUAGAAAAACAGUUUAUCUUUUCUCGUCGUUGUAGCCUACCUAAGAUGUUUAAACAUAGGAGGAAAAAAGAAAGAAAGAGAGAAAGAAAAGAAUAAGAAGGGUCUUUAAACUCUAGGAAUGUUUUUUUCCUGUAGUGAACUCGGAGUGACAGAGGUUUAUAACAAAAGUUGACUGUGUAAUAUUUUCCAUUGCUUACGGUUCCCUUCUGAACUUCCAUUUUGUGGGAAUACACUUGGAUCAUUGCUGACCUGUCUCUGGAAAAGGCUCACUGUGUAUUUUGGCUUGGCUUCCUUCCAUUUCUACUCCUCUAAGUCUGUUCCCCAUUUCAACAUCUCUCAUUGCCACAUUCCCAAACAUGUUACACAACCCCUAAGAAGCAAUUUAUAGGAAUAUUAGUAAUUCAGCUGUAACCAAACAAGCACUUUUCCCUUCUAACAGAUCAUUCUCUCCUGGGAAUCAUAGCUAUGUGGCUGUUUGCUCACUUGUUUACAGCAUUUCUCUGGAUGUGAUCAUUAGACAGGCAAACAACUUAAAGCAGAAUAAAUCCAUGAAAGCCAGUGCUUGCAGCAGCUUUUAAAGCAAAACCUGGCUGGAAAUAUUUUGUGAAGGCCUUUCCAAAAGUGCCUGGAAGAGUCUUGUAUGUGAAUGUGUAACCUCCCUAUAGCCAACCAUGUUGUGCCAAAUGCGCAUACACAGAUCCUGCUUUGAUGUUCACAGCCUGAGGCAGCACUGUCCCAAAUGAGAAUCUGUGAGCACCUUGGGGAUGUAACCCACCACAGUGCACCAGGUUUUUCUGUAAUAGCAAUAGAUACAAAGAUAUAAAUGAGACUGCACAACUUACCCAAGAUUGGAGUUACUUACAUACUGUGUGUCACUCAAAGUCAGUCUCACCAAACAUAAGAUUAACAGCUGGUGUCUGAUCUUGCAAACCUUAUCUCCUUGAACUCUGGCUCCCAUGAAAUAUUCCUAGAAGCUAUUAGUUUGACAGGUCAAAGGCCCCAGCUUUCCAUAUGUUGCCAGAAAAUAACAUCAAGUUCAACAUCAAGUUCCCCAGUACAGGAAGGACAUGGAGCUCUUAGAGCAGGUCCAGAGGAGGGCCACUGAGAUGAUCAGAGGGCUGGAGCACCUCUCCUAUGAGGAAAGGUUGAGGGAACUGGGCUUAUUUAGUUUGGAGAAGAGAAGGCUCUGGGGAGACCUCAUUGUGGCCUUCCAGUACUUGAAGGGAGUGUAUAAACAGGAAGGGGAGCAGCUCGUUUACAAGGGUGGAUAGUGAUAGGACAAGGGAGAAUGGUUUUAAACUGGGACAGGGGAGGUUUAGGUUGGAUAUUAGGAAGAAGUUUUCCACACAGAGGGUGGUGACGCACUGGAACAGGUUGCCCAAGGAGGUUGUGGAUGCCCCAUCCCUGGAGGCAUUCAAGGCCAGGCUGGAUGUGGCUCUGGGCAGCCUGGUCUGGUAGUUGGUGACCCUGCACAUAGCAGGGGGGUUGAAACUAGAUGAUCUUUGGGGUCCUUUUCAACCCAGGCCGUUCUACAAUUCUGUGAUAAACUUGUUGAGAAAAAGAGGACCCCUGUUUUGAGAGCUUAAAACCCAAGACAGAGUCACAUCUGCUUCAUCAAUCAGAACAAUAGCUUCUGAUUCAUGGAGUAGAUUGGGCUGACCUUCUUAUGUCCUUUUUACCCUGUUUCAAACAUUGCCAGAUAUGCAGAUGAGCGUGCCAGGUACAGUAUCUACCUGCCACAGUUUAUGGCCUGACACAUUCACUUGAAUGAAAAUGACUGACUUCAAAUUUAUGUACUCAUUACAAGCUGCAGCUCAUGGUCGCAUUUAUUUCUGCUUGGCUGUACAUCCAGCAGUGGUAAAGGUCUUUGGAAAAAAGGUUUGUGGCACAAACUAGUAGCAGUAAUUGCUCAGGCCAUCUCCAUGAGUUCUAUUUUUAAGGCAACCCAAAGGCAGCCCUGCAGCUAUACUGUGCUCUAUCAUGGCCACAUUCACUCUCCUCUGUGCAGUUGGUAUAACUUAACACAGGUUAACAAAUUAGGCAUAGCGUCACACAGUUGAGUGGAAAAUUGUGAAAAAGCCACUCAGCCUCUCACAGUGGAGAAAAAAAAAAAUCAUCUAGAGACUCCUGGAUCUGGGCCAGAGAACACAAGCAAAGCAGAGAGCUGCUGAUGCAUGAUGGCUUCCUGACACCCACCUGAAGGUAAAUUAGGUUUCCCAAAAGCAACUCACACAACCUUGCCUGAGAGCACACAAGGAGAUGGCCUCACAGACAUGAAAAGACAGUUCUGCAUGUAAGACUAGACAAGCAGUCCAAUGCUCUCUACCCUAGCUUUGGUGAUAAGCAGAUUUUAAGUUUAUCUGCCCCAAAGCCCUGCAACCUGCCAAAUAAUCACAUCUUACAUCAUCAGAGAGAGGUCUUCAUCAGAGUUAGUCAGAUGUAGGUGAAAAUAAGUAUCUCAGUCACUGGUGCCAUACAGUUACCAGUAAUAUCCUUAGCAAGUGAACACAGAGUAACACACAUACCUGCAC